rnacentral:rRNA from 1 species
AGAGUUUGAUUCCCGGCUCAGGACGAACGCUGGCGGCGUGCUUAACACAUGCAAGUCGAACGGUGAUGUCAGAGCUUGCUCUGGCGGAUCAGUGGCGAACGGGUGAGUAACACGUGAGUAACCUGCCCCCGACUCUGGGAUAACUGCUAGAAAUGGUAGCUAAUACCGGAUAUGACGACUGGCCGCAUGGUCUGGUCGUGGAAAGAAUUUCGGUUGGGGAUGGACUCGCGGCCUAUCAGGUUGUUGGUGAGGUAAUGGCUCACCAAGCCUACGACGGGUAGCCGGCCUGAGAGGGUGACCGGCCACACUGGGACUGAGACACGGCCCAGACUCCUACGGGAGGCAGCAGUGGGGAAUAUUGCACAAUGGGCGCAAGCCUGAUGCAGCAACGCCGCGUGAGGGAUGACGGCCUUCGGGUUGUAAACCUCUUUUAGUAGGGAAGAAGCGAAAGUGACGGACCUGCAGAAAAAGCACC